UCAUUUUCAGAUUCUGCUUCUUUUUUUUUUAGUAACCCAGUUAAUUUAGCUGAUGGUUUGUGAGCAUGAAGUGAACAUUAUGAAUGGUCGUGGAUAGUUACAAAGGACGGUUUAUUCUUCAAGCUCUUGGUCCAGAGCCAAAGAGACAAGUGCAGUGUGAGAGAGAGUGCGCUCUACAGCUGCGCUCCUGUGCGUGAGUACGUGAGUGUGUGACGCAGCAGUUGUAGUGGGGGCGGAAGGACAUCAUAAGAAACUGCUGCGGGGAAUCGAAAGUGUUUCAGAUGUGACUUUGUUCCUCGUGGUCGCCAGGGACACUGUGCACCGCGAUGUCAGACAUGCAGCUGAUCCCGCUGCUCUGCCUCCUGUGUCUGUGGGCUGGAUGCACCUCUGCACAGGAAAUCAGAGUAGUGAAUGUGCCAGAAGGUGACAAUGCCCUCCUCGAUUGUGCUCAGGCCUCCGGACAGAGCAUUGAUGAGUUUGACUGGAGGAAAGACAAUGGAGACGAGGAGAAGAAGGAGGUGUUUAUGUAUAAAAGUGGCUCUUACUACGGUAAUGGCCUUCAGGGCCAAGAUGAUCAAUUCAAAGGCCGUGUUGAGUUUUUUCAACAUAAACUUGAAUCAGGAAAUGCCUCCAUAUUAAUCAAAAACACACGUCUGGAAGACACUGGCACUUAUAUCUGUGGUUUAGGCCUAGAUAUAAACAACAGACGGAGGUUCGAAUUAGACUUAAUGUUGGGGCAGCUCCUGUGCCUUACAUAAAGACAAUUCGUGAUAAAAUUACCUGGAGGUUGCUGGAGUGUAAAGCUCAAGGUGUCCCUGAACCAGAAGUGGAGUGGAGAAACAGUGCUGGAAAAGUACUUGCUAAACACAAUCCAACAAGUGAAGAUGGACAUGCCCAUCCUGAACUUAGAUUAAAUGUGACCAAGAGUGACAACUACACCUGUGUGGCUACUCAGAUGUCCAUUUACCAUCAAAACAAGUACACCACAGAUGUGAACAUUCCCG
rnacentral:lncRNA from 1 species